rnacentral:rRNA from 1 species
AUUGAACGCUGGCGGCAUGCCUUACGCAUGCAAGUCGAACGGCAGCACGGGAGCAAUCCUGGUGGCGAGUGGCGAACGGGUGAGUAAUAUAUCGGAACGUGCCCAGUCGUGGGGGAUAACGUAGCGAAAGCUACGCUAAUACCGCAUACGAUCUAUGGAUGAAAGCGGGGGAUCGCAAGACCUCGCGCGAUUGGAGCGGCCGAUAUCAGAUUAGGUAGUUGGUGAGGUAAAGGCUCACCAAGCCGACGAUCUGUAGCUGGUCUGAGAGGACGACCAGCCACACUGGAACUGAGACACGGUCCAGACUCCUACGGGAGGCAGCAGUGGGGAAUUUUGGACAAUGGGCGCAAGCCUGAUCCAGCAAUGCCGCGUGCAGGAUGAAGGCCUUCGGGUUGUAAACUGCUUUUGUACGGAACGAAACGGUGAGCUCUAAUACAGUUUGCUAAUGACGGUACCGUAAGAAUAAGCACCGGCUAACUACGUGCCAGCCGCCGCGGUAA